CCGGAUGCACAAGAGUUUGUUGUCAGUUAGAGAUUUUAAAGGAGACGCUGCGCGCGGUCGCGUUGCUGAGGAACCGACUGUGGAGAAUUAUCGAUGUUGGAUCGAUUAUCAUGAAUGAUAGUGUUUAUUAAUUUCAGUAAUCAUCAUGUCUGUGAGUAAAGAGGAGAGUUUAUCCCCGGAUGAGAUGCGACAGAAACUUUACCAGACCUUCAAGAGCCGCGGGCUGCUGGACACCCUGAAGACGCAACUGCGUAAUCAGCUGAUCCAGGACCUGCAGCGGCCGACAGGAGACCCGGCUCCUCACACACACUCGGUGUUGGUCACUGCGUGCAACAGUGUGGUGGCGGAUCAUCUGCGGAGCGCUGGAUACGAGUACACACUCUCCGUCUUCCUCCCCGAGUGCGGGAUGAGCAGAGACACGGUGUUCUCCAGCCGAGACGUUCUGCAGCUGCUGAAGAUCAGUCCUCACACACCGUUACACAGAGCUCUGGUUUCAGAUAUCCAGUCGGGACAGACGGGUUUCCUGAUGAGCCUCUUCACGGAGCUGACAGACAGAAACUGCUGUGACACGUCGACCCAAACCUCCUCUAUAUCUGCGCAUAAGGAGUCUCUGGUUGAGAAGAUGCAGCUGAUCGACGAGGAGUAUGAAGUGCUCCGGCACAGAGGAGAGCGCUGGCCGUCCAUCGAGGCGAAGCUUGCGGAGUUCAGGAAGGAGAUCCAGGAGCAGGCGCAGCUCGAGCUCAACGCAAAGAUGCAGCACUUCAUGGAGGUGGAGAUAGCGAAGGUGAAGCGCGAGGAGAAAGAGGCUUCUCGAAGAGAGAUCCUGGAGCUGAGACGAGACCUGGAGAGAACGUAUGAGCUGAAGACCGAGGCUCUGAUGAGUCGAGAGAAGAACGCCAUCGAGCGAUUACAGCGACAACAGGAGACCGAGGAAAAGGAUCUGUAUGCUCAGAGACAAGCCGUGCUGAGAGAGAUGGAGUGUGUGCGCAGCGGAGAGAUGCAGCUGAAGCUCAGGAUCCAGGCCUUCGACAAGAGCUGUGCGCUGCAGGAGGAGAAGCAGAAGAGCGUGGAGGAUCUCCUGAGGAGGAGAGAGCUGUGUGUGAAGAGCCAGGAGGACUCCUUCCAGCACAGACUGCAGAGCGAGAUCCUCAAAUGUCAGCUGGAGCUGAAGGAGGAUUACACCAGGAGAACGGACACACUCGCAGAGCAAGAGGACAGGGUUCGAGCAGAAACGCUCCGUCUGCAGGAGGAGUCCGCUAAUAUCCAUGCUAAAGCAGAAGAGCACGAGAGACGCGCAUCAGAGGUCAAACGUCUGCAGAUGGAGCUGGAGUCGGCCCGAGCGCAGGCGUCUGUCCUGACCCGAGACAACGAGCUGAUCCGAGAGAAGCUGGAGGACAUGAGGGAUUACUCAGCGCUGAAGGAGGAGACACACGACCUGCAGACUCGCAUCACACUCAUGAAGAUCCAGCUGGAGGAGGAACGGCAGGAGAACCUGCGCCUCACACAAGAGCGCCGGGGCCCGUCUGAGCAGGAGCUGGUCCUGCAGGCCGAGCUGCGGAGACUGGAGAACACACGAGCGCUGGACCAGCAGGAGUUCGAGACGCAGAGAGGCGUCCUGCACACACAGCUCCAGCACGAGGCUCAGCAGUGUGUGCUGUUGAAGGCUCAGCUGCAGGAGUGUGAGGAACGCACCGCAUGGAUGAACGCUCACACACACCAGCUCCAGCUCCAGCUCCAGCACACACAGCAAGCUCUGGAGAACGAGGUCCUUCGAAAGCCUUCGCUGUUAGAGCGACCCGUUGUCAGUGUGACCCCUGACGUGUACGCAGACUCCGGCUGGAGGCCCAGGGCCGCGUGUGCCGCUGAUGUGGCUGAAGCGGGGGGCCGAUGGACUCGCGGCGAGGCCCCCGGACACGAGCACGACUCGGGCCUGGUGAGCGACGCUCUGGCUCGGAUCCGGCAGCUGGAGCUGGAGGCGGAGCGACUCGAGGAGGCGUACAGGAGCCAUCAGAACCGAGGCCCCAGAACCUGCCCCGUGGAGAGACUGAGCCGAAGCCCUUCCCCGAGAGAGAGAGCCCCGCCGACACGCCGCAGAGCCGAGGGCCGGGGCGAGCAAGAGCGGAGAGGAUCUCUGACAGCGGGCGAGCGGCACUGGUGUUUGCAGAGAGAGAGAGAGAGAUCUCCCCGAUCCCUGCUGGAGAAAUGAGCUCUUCCAGAGACUUCACACACACACACAUCAGUCCCAGCAGCCCCAGGAUGAAGAGCACCACACGCCACAGCUGCAGUCCACCCAAACUGCAGGACAUCAGAUCCAGCUCAUCGCAGGAGUCGUCUCCUCAACCCGAGAAGAUCACGCUCCACGACCUCACCGACCCCCUUCAACUUGUGUCCACAGAUCAGGAGUGUUUCCUCGAGAGACUCCAGGAUCAUCAUCAGGAUGUUCAUCAUCAUCAUCAUCACCAUCAUCAUCAUCACCCGCCGCAACCAGAGACCGGCCUGAGGAAGAGGAGCAGCGCUGGGAGGAGGAGAGGAAGAGCAAAGAGGAGAGAGAGGAGGCGCAGGAGAGAGAGAUGGAGAGACUCGAGCAGGAGACGGAGGAGCAAAAUGAGAAACCAGCAGAAGACGAGAGAGAAGGUCACGUGACGUUACCGACCUCAGCGAUUGGAGGAGGAGGAGCUGAUGUGGCCAAUCCGCUUCAGAAGUACAUGAUGAUGGUCAUGCAGGAUCAGAGUCCAAAGAAAGAGGCAUCAGAACACCAAAGUGAAGAGGACGUCCUCCCGUCGGAGCGCGACGAGCACAGCGCCGGCGUGACGUCACACACCGAGCCAGACGACGACUUCUGGUGAAACACAUCCAGCUCCUCGUGCUUAUAGACACACGACUCUGUGCGAGUGCUGUUUUUACUGUGAAAGGUUAUUAAUAAGUUCUGUUAUUAUUCAGUAGUGCAGGUGAAGAAUAUAGAAUACGGGGCAAAAGUUCAUUUAUUUCAAUAAUUCAACUUAAAAGGUGAAACUAAUAUAUUAUAAAGACUCAUUACAUGCAAAGUGAGAUAUUUCAAGCCUUUAUUUGUUAUAAUUGUGAUGAUUAUGACUUACAGUUUAUGAAAACCCCAAAUUUAAGCCAUAUGUAAGCCGUAAUCAUCAAAAUUAUAACAAAUAAAGGCUUGAAAUAUCUCACUUUGCAUGUAAUGAGUCUUUAUAAUAUAUUAGUUUCAGCUUUUAAGUUGAAUUACUGGAUCAAACCUGUAUUAGUACUGAGGGUGAGACUGAAUAAUGAGUAUUUGAAUUAUUCUCAUAUUUGAUGAGGUUUGCAUCGUCAGGUCUGUAUAAAGCGCUGUAGAAAUAAAGCUAGACACAAAUCAUGA